UACGUAGGGGGGCAAGCGUUGUCCGGAAUCAUUGGGCGUAAAGAGCGUGUAGGCGGCCCGAUAAGUCCGCUGUGAAAGUCCAGGGCUCAACCCUGGAAUGCCGGUGGAUACUGUCGGGCUCGAAUCCGGAAGAGGUGAGUGGAAUUCCCUGGUGUAGCGGUGAAAUGCGCAGAUAUCAGGAGGAACACCAAUGGCGAAGGCAGCUCACUGGGACGGUAUUGACGCUGAGACGCGAAAGCGUGGGGAGCAAACAGG
rnacentral:rRNA from 1 species